UGCCAGCAGCCGCGGUAAUACGUAGGGGGCUAGCGUUGUCCGGAAUCACUGGGCGUAAAGGGUUCGCAGGCGGAAAUGCAAGUCAGAUGUAAAAGGCAGUAGCUUAACUACUGUAAGCAUUUGAAACUGCAUAUCUUGAGAAGAGUAGAGGUAAGUGGAAUUUUUAGUGUAGCGGUGAAAUGCGUAGAUAUUAAAAAGAAUACCGGUGGCGAAGGCGACUUACUGGGCUCAUUCUGACGCUGAGGAACGAAAGCGUGGGUAGCAAACAGGAUUAGAUA
rnacentral:rRNA from 1 species